GCAAACAGGAUUAGAUACCCUGGUAGUCCACGCCGUAAACGAUGUCUACUUGGAGGUUGUGCCCUUGAGGCGUGGCUUCCGGAGCUAACGCGUUAAGUAGACCGCCUGGGGAGUACGGCCGCAAGGUUAAAACUCAAAUGAAUUGACGGGGGCCCGCACAAGCGGUGGAGCAUGUGGUUUAAUUCGAUGCAACGCGAAGAACCUUACCUGGUCUUGACAUCCACAGAACUUUCCAGAGAUGGACUGGUGCCUUCGGGAACUGUGAGACAGGUGCUGCAUGGCUGUCGUCAGCUCGUGUUGUGAAAUGUUGGGUUAAGUCCCGCAACGAGCGCAACCCUUAUCCUUUGUUGCCAGCGAUUAGGUCGGGAACUCAAAGGAGACUGCCAGUGAUAAACUGGAGGAAGGUGGGGAUGACGUCAAGUCAUCAUGGCCCUUACGACCAGGGCUACACACGUGCUACAAUGGCGCAUACAAAGAGAAGCGACCUCGCGAGAGCAAGCGGACCUCAUAAAGUGCGUCGUAGUCCGGAUUGGAGUCUGCAACUCGACUCCAUGAAGUCGGAAUCGCUAGUAAUCGUGGAUCAGAAUGCCACGGUGAAUACGUUCCCGGGCCUUGUACACACCGCCCGUCACACCAUGGGAGUGGGUUGCAAAAAGAAGUAGGUAGCUUAACCUUCGGGAGGGCGCUUACCACUUUGUGAUUCAUGACUGGGGUGAAGUCGUAACAAGGUAACCGUAGGGGAACCUGCGGUUGGAUCACCUCCUUACCUUAAAGAAGC
rnacentral:rRNA from 1 species